CUGCUUAAAACACCUUUAAAGAUAAUUGCUUUUGUGUUCGUGUACAAUCUAUGCGAUAAGAUGAAGUAUGGUAGUUACAUGAUAAUCAUUUGUUCAGAUAACACUUUUAGACUUUAAAACUUAGUAAGAUUACAGAGGAUGUCAUUAUAGAUUAAGAUUAUAUCAACUUACUGUCCUUAUAAAUUACACAGUAGCCCAUCAACAGAUAUUAGAUAAUCAUUUAUCCUCAUUUAUACACUACUGUGAAAACACGACAAUGUAUCAUGACAAUUUGCCAAAAUUUUAAUUUAAACAUGUUAACUAAAGGUCUUAAAAGAUCAAAUGUUACUGCAAUAAAACUAUUUAAAUCACUGUUUUAAACUGGGUACCAAAAACUAAGCAUAAGAAGUUGAUAAUAUUAUGAGACAUGCAAAUCAGUAAAAGUAAAAUAAUCAAUCAUUAACAAUAAAUGAAUAAAUAAUGGGAAAUUAACUCACAGUAAACAUGUGUGCGGCUACUGGCUAUCCAUCAAAUAAGAUAAAUAAUGAUGUAGUGAGUCCUCCGGAAGUGAUUACAGCCAGAGUUGAACGUUGAUCGUACGAUGUUGAGAUCAUUUUGACAAAAGCAUGCCAACUGUUUAAUGCAUUUGAGGCACUGGGUUAUUUUGGCUUAAAAUCAGAUCAAUUUUGGAGUCUUGGAGACAAGUGACGUAAUCCAAGAUAAUGCUUAUGGCAAUAGAAGAAAAUGUAAUUAAUGAAAAAAAAAUAUUUACUUGUACGAUGGACUAUAUGAUAACAUACCGAUGAAAAUGAUAAUGGGUCGUUUUGGAUUCAGAUACUGCCUAUUAAAGUUUAACACACUUAAGUUUUGUUUGAAAUAAUGAUUAAAUCAUUAUGAGUUUUUAUAUCGAUCAGAG
rnacentral:lncRNA from 1 species